AUGGAUGCUCUGGAGGUGAUUCCCCCACGGGAUUACCCCGAGGAGAAACCAUGCGCGGAUGUAUAUGGUGAGUCACAACACCAUUCCCUGACGACAUCGACGACGGACAUGGAUGUCAUCUCCAAGGUGCUCGACGAUGACAACCUCCUCAGAGAGAUCAUCCUUUGUGUCGGCUUCCCGACCACCCUCAUCUGUGCCUCCCUCGUCUGCAAGCGUUGGUACCACCACGCCUCCGACCGCAAGUUCCUCAGCCGUUUCCAUGAGCACAACCCGUCCCACCUCCUAGGCUUCUACCUCGAGGACACCGAUGACCCAAGCGUGGCUGCACACUUCUAUCCGAUGCUGCCUCAACCUGCAGAGCUUGCCACUGUCAUCCGUAGUGCAAGAUUUAGCUUGGACCCCCACCAGAGUGAAAUGUCCGACAUGAUGGGCUGCCGGAACAGCAACGUACUCAUCAGUUUGUACGACUGCAGAGAUUUUACAGUUGGAGUGCACAACACGUUGCACCCCGAGAGAAGUUUGGCGGUCCUCCCGCCAUUCCCAGAGUUGCAAAUUCAGGACGGCUAUUUCUGUGGUAUGAAUGAUCUCCUCCUCUCCAAAGAGGAAGGCGAUGGCUUGUCCUACAUUUAUGUGUUGGUGGAGUCUACAACAGAGAGGACCAAAUCUAUGAUGCACAUAGAUGUGCUGUGA
rnacentral:rRNA from 1 species